rnacentral:rRNA from 1 species
CAGUCGCCACGGGAAUACGAAGGGGGCUAGCGUUGUUCGGAUUUACUGGGCGUAAAGCGCACGUAGGCGGACUUUUAAGUCAGGGGUGAAAUCCCGGGGCUCAACCCCGGAACUGCCUUUGAUACUGGAAGUCUUGAGUAUGGUAGAGGUGAGUGGAAUUCCGAGUGUAGAGGUGAAAUUCGUAGAUAUUCGGAGGAACACCAGUGGCGAAGGCGGCUCACUGGACCAUUACUGACGCUGAGGUGCGAAAGCGUGGGGAGCAAACAGGAUUAGAUACCCGCGUAGUCCCUGUCUCUUAACA